GUUCCAAUGGCUCAACUGGUAAAGCAUGGCACUAGUGACACCACGGUUGGGGGUUUGAUUCUCAUUGAACA